UGUGGUGUAAGAGGUAACCUGGCGAGUGGCAGCAGCGCUCCUCGGGUCCUGUGGCUCACGCUUUGGUACUAGAGGCCGGACUGUUCUGGCGACCGCGACCUCUGCGGCAACGGCUGAAGUUCUCGGAGGAGUAUCGGAGUACGGUCUGGAGGAGAGGCUUCUGGUCUGCCCAGGCAGCUGGAAGGUGAACGCGAGAGAGGAAGAAUACACUGUACAGGGAACUUUGCAAGGUUGGGAACUUUUAAUCGGUUUUGUUAAUGGUAAACCAUUCUUGCCUUUCUUAAAAAGGCAUCUGAUCAUUAUAUCCUUGCCGGAAUCUUUGUCCCAUUACAGUUGUUUUGGUAAUAAUUUUUGAACAUGCAGACGAGAAGGGUUAUUGGCAGCAAGAAAUUUUAAAUGUUAUUUUUAAGUAGAUAGAAUUGGAUUAUACUUGAAACAGCUUAACGGCGCUUCUAGAGUUUGCAGGGUAAGUAAGGACUUGACCAUCCUACUUUGUCAUAACAUAUAGGAUACACAUUAGCUGUAUUGCACAAUGUGAUUUGAUCUCACUCAGCCUGUGGAUAAUAUAGCAUUGACUCUGUUUAAAAACAGCAUUGUUUAUUCCCCUUUCACAAUUUGUGUUCACCUUCAUAGUUAUCAGUUUGGAUUUCAAUAGUGUUGGUUCUAUCCAUAUGUUUCUAGAUAGAAGUACCAAUUAUGUUGUGCCUAAAUAAAAUAUGCCAAGAAUUUUAUGAGGAAAAGGUAACUUAUUGUACUCAGUUUUGAUUGAGACUUUAGAGUUUUGAAAAUAUUAGUGUAUUUGUUUGACAGUGAGGAUUUUGUUGGUAGGGAUGGAGGAAAUUGAAGUAUUGGGUUAAGCCUGAUGGGUCCUUUAGCCUGUGUGCGUGGGGAUGGGGUGAGGGAGAAAGAACACACACGUGUACAAAACCUUGUAGAUUCUAACAGUGCUUAGUUCCAUGACUUUAUGUGAAUUGAAAUUGGUUUUUCUAGUUUUUAGUGGGGCGAUGUAAGCAGUGAGUUUAACAUCAUCUCCACUGUGUUUUGGCCAGAAUUUUGCAAGCUUUUGUGAAAAAUUCUUAUUUUUUCCUUACACUAUUUGUGACAUAUAUAUCAAUAUGCUUCCUUGUAUUUUACUAUGGUAAGAUUGUAUCUUGUAUAUAGAGAAAUAAGUCUAAUAGAGUGAAUUAAAAGGAAUCUUUGAGGAGGCAGCAUUGUCUAAUGGACCAUAUGUUUGAUCCUUGUUAAUACAGGAAAUCACACUGAAAAGAGGAAGGUCUUAAAACUGUUCUAACAAAUGCCCAGGUGUAUAGAACAAUAAAAAGAAUUUAUGACAGAACUAUUAGCAGUCAUCAAAUAAGAGUCCUAGACAAAUUUCAAACCUAUGAGUUGGUCACUAUUGUGGGAUAUUAUAAGGCUGCAGUUGAAAACAAAGUUAUUUUUGUACAGCCUUUUUGUUUGUGGUUUUGUUUAGAAAGUUCUUGUUUGCAAAUUUAGAGCACUGUAGCUAUUGAUUUCUUCAUAGAUACUUUACUUUUAAAGAGCUCAUAGUAUCAUGGGAGAGACACCUGUAAACCAAGAAUUAGAUGCAGGAGAGGUUCUGCAGUAUAAGUUGUGUACAGAGCCCGGAGAAGCUCUGUGGCCCAGUAUUCUGGCUUCAUCUCCUGCUGCUCUAGGCCUUCUAGAAUGCCAUUUCCUAACUAACUGUUCGUUUCACAACCUGGUCCUCUCCCUAUAGGUGCUCUUCUCUCUUCUUGAAAGCCUUUUCCGUACCUUAUGUGCCUGGUGAGGUCCCAAUUUCAAAAUCUUCUUGAAGUCUGCCACUGCCUACGCUCCACCCAAAUAAUUGUUUUCUAUAUUCUUCUGUUAUCUCGCUAUGAAUAAUUACAGUGAUUUUCAUUAUUCACAGUGAUUAUGGUCCAUAAAAUCACACAGAACACUAAAUUAGCAAAUACUGAACAGUUGCUCCUAGGGAAAAUAGGUAUGUUUCUCAUAUACAUUUUAAUCUUAAAUUUUAAAUUCAACUCAUCCUGGUAAAUUCUAUUUUCUUUAUUUAACAAAAAAGAAAAUGAGAUUCAGAAGUGUUAAGCGACGUGCCUGAGGCCAACCAACCCCGUAACAGGUUCCAGUUAGAAUUCAAAUCCUGUCUUACUGGCCCUUGAGCCAGAGCUUCUUGCACUACACUGCACUGCCCUCUCCUGGCUGUGCCCUGAAUUAUCUCUAUGAGUGCUUAAAUGAGCAGAGCAGUGCCUAGUUCAAACUUCUUGGAUGGGAACCAUGCGCUAAGGGGUGACUCAGAAUUUUUCCCACUCUGUGCAUGUCCGUGAAUGACUAUGGAAGCACCGUCAGUAUUCAUUUGGUGGUUACAAAUAAAUUUUGGCAAGCAGGCAAAUUUCCAAAUACAGGAUCCACAAAUAAUGAGGAUCAACUGUAUUUGUGAAUGAGCCCUGGAGUCUGUUUCAUGGUAACCCGUCCCUGCAAUCAACAGUGGAAUGUGCUGUUUUAUCCAACAGAUAUUCAUUAAGCACUUACUAUAAGCCAGGCCGUUUUAGGCUGUGGUGACCAAACUGGAAAUUAAGCUGCUGUCCUUAUGCAUGUUAAAUUUGAAUAAGCCAGCUAAAAGCCUGGAGCUCAGGGGAGAGAUCUAGUUUGUAAUUAGAGGGUAACUUGACCAACGUGACUUGACCAACCUUGUGUGGUCCUUCCCACUUCAUAUUCCUUAGCAUGUUGAUUUCCAGAACAUUUCAGUUUUGCUCUUUGCAUAAACCCUCUCUUUUGAGCAACUCUUUACUUGUCACUAGUUUAUUUUGAGGCUGUUUACCCAUAAAACUGGCAGGAUAUUGUAGAAGAAACAGGCUAAUGUGGUCUUUGAUUUCUGCCUUUGCCACCUCCCAACUGAGUGACUUUGGUCACACUGUUGAACUUUUUAAACCUGUUUCCUGAUGUCAGAAGUAGUAAUAUGAUGUUCUAGCCCCUGUGGAUUGCAAGGGAGAGGCACACACAUAUUACCUUUGAUGACAAGGAUUUAAUGUAAACAUGAACGGGAUAUCAUCUCAGCCACCGUACUGUCCCUUAGCCCUAGUGCUUUUUAAAACAGAAUCUGCUGUAUAGCACAGAGAACUCUACCCACUAGUCUAUGAUAAUCUGUGUGGGAAAAGAAUCUGAAAGAGAAUGGAUGUGUGUAUAUGUAUAACUGAAUCACUUUGUUGUACAGCAGAAAUUAUCACAACUUUGUAAAUCGACUAUACUUUAAUAAAACUUUUUAAUAAAAAAACCUUAAAGAGCACUAACUUAGUAGUGUUUAGGAUAGGAUUUGAGCUCUGGAGACCCGCCCUCUAUUACUUUGUUCACUCAAGCUUUGUGUUUCCUAGGAGAGAGCAUCUGAUUGGAUUGGUUUGCCACCUUCUAAAAUGGAGGACCCCUAUUGAGCAGAAUUUUUAACCAAAGCCGUAUCCUAGGUGAUCUCCCUCAAGUUCAGCCCUUAAUUAGGGCUCUGAGUCUGGUCCAGGAGUUUGUGGCCAAAGAAGUAGGAUUAGUUUCAUGUAUUAUAUGUGGCAAAGACUGUAGCAUAUAUAAAAAGAACCCCUUGGAGAGAGAUUCUUCCAAAAGCAACCAAGGAUAGAGCAGUCCUUAGGAUGCCAAUUCAAUAACCUAUCUGAUACGCUCAUAGACAAUGUUUAAUAAAGCACCUAACAAAGUAAUUGACACAUGUCAAAUAUUGCAUAGAGCUCCCUUUUGAUGUUGCCGUUAACAUUAUAGUGUGAUUGUUUGUUCAUGUGGCUGUCUUCCUUCCUAGACUAUGAGCUCCAUGAGGGAGAGUCAACAUCUUCAUCCUUCUAACCUUGGCAUUGAGUGCAGUGCCUGAUACAUUGUAAUAAAUAUACACAUGUCUGAAUUGAAGCAUUCCCUAACUUGUCCUGAAAGGGUAGAAUAAUGUGAAAGCUUUUCAGAGAAGGUAUAGUUUAAACUGGUUCUUAAAGAAUGAGUAGAAUGUUUUCCAGGUGAAUAAAACCUUGUGGCAGCAUUCCAAAUAGGGACCAGCAGGUGCAAAAGAACAGAGAUAGAAGAAGAUAACCAUGACCAGUAACAGAUGCAAAUUUUAGGGAGAAAGUGUAAUACUCUCAAGGUGUUAGCAGGGUAUCAAUAAUAAAUAGAGUUUAGAAAUACAAGUAUUGACUUUUGGGAACCAUUACACUGUAGUGAAAUUAUUUACUUCAUCAUGAAGCUCACGUGUAUCUUGUACUGUUCAAGGUGCUAAAAAUGUAAUGAAACUUAUUCUCAGAAGGCUCACAAGCUCACAAGUAGAUGGAGGAACUGGUUUGUCAUGUAAGGUAAUAAAGAUAUGAAAAAAAAAAAGCUGUCUAAACCAGGAGAAAGGAGUAUUUAGUAAUAUGGAGCAAUGGAGGAGAUUACUCAAAUGAGGUGGUGUUUGAGCUAGGCCUUGGUAGGUAAAGAAGUAGGAGUUCACUAGACCGAAAGUAAGGAUUUAUGGGGACUAUUUGUGGUAGGAGAGAUUUAAGAAUUAUCCAGUUUGCCAUUUCUGUUUUGGGCACUCAGUUAAUAGUUUUGUUUAUUCAAGCAGUUUCUCUGAGCAUAUGAAUGUGAAUAGUUAUGCUACAGUAGAACUUUGUGUCAAAAUAAACUGGGUUAAACAAAGGUUUCUGAAAUGCAGGUCUUCUCAAGAGCCUUUAUUAUGUUAAUAUCCUUUGUCAAUUGUGGCUCUCCAAAAGGACUACAUUAUAUUUAACUAUGGCUUCUCCUCCUUCUCCCUUUGCAACAUACCUAAACAUCUUUUGAAACAAAAUUACAUAAGAUACAGUUUGAGGAGUUCCCUGGUGGCUCAGUGGGUACAGGAUCCAGCAUUGUCACUGCUGUGGCUCAAAUCAUUGCUGUGGUGCAAGUUUGAUCCCUUCUCUACAAAAUUCUUCAUGCUGCAGGCAAGGCCAAGACAAACAAAAAGACAUAGUUUGAGAGAUGAUGAAUUAAAACAUAUUUUUAUCAAGCCAAAAUUUAUCAGUAGUCUCCAGGUACAUUGUAAAAUAAUGUAUAAUUGCAUAAUCUUAGAGCAAAGAAGAAAGGACAUUUGGAGAGAAAAAAUACGUUCUAGCCAAGUUAUUAUCAUCUUGGUCAUUAAAUCCCAAACUUAUAAAAAUUCUUAUAUGAUCACACUCUCCCUUGAAAACUAUGGCUUAUUCAUAUUUUGAAAUUCUGUAAGGUGAUCAGAGACACCCUGCGGUGUGGCAGAAACAGAGCAGGAGUGAACAGUGGUGACCAAGGCAAAGGUCAUCUUGGAAGUGAGACUCUUCCAACCUGAGAGGAUGCUACUUUUAUUAUGCAUUCAUUUUAGGCCAUAUUAGGCAUAUAUUUCGCUGUUGGGUAUUUUAUUUAAGAGCAUAACAGAAAUCCACACCCUCUUCUGACUUUGGAAUUGUGCGUUCUCUUUUCAAUAAGAGAAAAUAAUGACUGAGGCCUUACUGUGUAAUUUUAAUUAUCUGUCAAAUUCUGAUUGUGUGAUUAAAUUCCUAGGCAUUGUUAAAAUUAAAGAAGCAAUGGUCAUGCUUUUGACAGUUCACUGAAUUUGAAGUGAGAAGAUCUACAUUUGAAAUUCAUCUUGGCCAGCUUUCUAUUUGGAUGACCUUGGACACAACUGCCUAACCAUCUCUAGCCUCCUUUUCCAGUACUUCUUCCUUUUCCAUUUUAACCAAAUGCAAAUACAUAGGGUUAGUGUAAGAAUUAAAUGAUGCUUAUAAGCAUGCUUUAUGAGCUCUGAAGCACUGUACAAAUAAAAGGCUGAAGGAAUAUGCUGAGGCUGAGCUUAAUUUGAAUUAACAUUUUACUUUUAGUUUUUAAUUUUAUAUUAUAGAAAUAGUGCAUAUGUACCAUUAUAAAAUUAGAAAGCAUAGAUAGGCAAGGGAGGGGGCUACAAAGAACUUCCUACAUCUGCCAUAGUGAGACAGUGGUUACCAUUUUGAUGGAUAUAUAUAGUUUCUAUGCAUAUUUGUGUAUGUAUAUGUGUAUGCAUUGUGUAAUAGAAAUGGGCUCAUCUUGGUUGGUUUGUUUAGUCACUUUAUUUUUGUAAGUCCCCUAAGAGUACAUUUACUUGAUUCAAGGAAUUAUUCCAUCUUUUGCUACAUAUUUCUUGUAUAUAAUGAGAACUAUAAUGAGAAAGAGCUAACUUCUCAGCCUGGUGAACGUGUGACCUUGUGGUAAUCUAAUAUCCUAAACCAUUUCCAAAGCUUCAUGAAUGGCACAUUCAGAAAUGGACUUGAUGUGGGUAUGUGGCUAUGAUUGGCAUUGUUGGUAAUAGCUUAAGGAUGACUCCAGUGUGUCCGUGAGGAGCUCGUUAACCAUGGUAUAUCCAACCCAUGGAAUAUUACAUAGUUUUGAAAAGAGUGAGGAAAAUAGAAGGGUAGAACAAGAAUAUAUAUUGCUAGUAAUUGCAAAACGAAAUUCUGAAAUGGUAUAUAAGAGACCAUUGAAAGAAAUAGUGGGGGAGUUCCCGUUGUGGCGCAGUGGUUAGCGAAUCCGACUAGGAACCAUGAGGUUGCGGGUUCGGUCCCUGCCCUUGCUCAUGUGGGUUAACGAUCCGGCGUUGCCGUGAGCUGUGGUGUAGGUUGCAGACGCGGCUCGGAUCCCGAGUUGCUGUGGCUCUGGCGUAGGCCGGUGGCUACAGCUCCGAUUCAACCCCUAGCCUGGGAACCUCCAUAUGCCGCGGGAGCGGCCCAAGAAAUAGCAACAGCAACAACAACAAAAAGACAAAAGACAAAAAAAAAAAAAAAAAAAAAAAAAAAAAGAAAUAGUGGGAAUGGGAUUUCACCAUAUGCCUUUAUAUGUUUAUAUAUUAAAAAAAUUUUUGAAUCAUGUGUUUGUAUUACCUUUUCAAAAAAUGAGUGAAUGAAUGGAUGAUAUGGAGAUAAGAGAAAGAGAUGAAAUGAUUUAAAACUUCCAGAUGGCACUGCCUAUUGCAUCAGUAGCUGCUCUUUUUUCAUAUUCACUUGUAUUUUUCAUAUCCAUACAUAUUAUUUUUUAUUGUAAUUACUCUUUUAAUAUUUUUUAAACUUAAUUGUAUUUUUUCUAUGUUGCUGUAGGAGGACCCUUUAAAAAAAUGAAGGUAGGGCAGUUUUGUCUAGUGCAUGUCACCAAAGUGGUCUGAUCCACCUCAAGAGGCGGAAAAUUCAAGCCCUCUAAUCAUAUGUGAUGUACAUACAUGAGAAAAAAA
rnacentral:lncRNA from 1 species